AGCGAACGCUGGCGGCAGGCCUAACACAUGCAAGUCGAACGAACCUUUCGGGGUUAGUGGCGGACGGGUGAGUAACACGUGGGAACGUGCCUUUAGGUUCGGAAUAACUCAGGGAAACUUGUGCUAAUACCGAAUGUGCCCUUCGGGGGAAAGAUUUAUCGCCUUUAGAGCGGCCCGCGUCUGAUUAGCUAGUUGGUGGAGGUAAUGGCUCACCAAGGCGACGAUCAGUAGCUGGUCUGAGAGGAUGAUCAGCCACAUUGGGACUGAGACACGGCCCAAACUCCUACGGGAGGCAGCAGUGGGGAAUCUUGCGCAAUGGGCGAAAGCCUGACGCAGCCAUGCCGCGUGAAUGAUGAAGGUCUUAGGAUUGUAAAAUUCUUUCACCGGGGACGAUAAUGACGGUACCCGGAGAAGAAGCCCCGGCUAACUUCGUG
rnacentral:rRNA from 1 species